GAGGGUAUAACUCAAUGGUAGAGCGCAUGCUUAGUGUGCAUGAGGUCCUGGGUUCAAUCCCCAAAACUUCG
rnacentral:tRNA from 1 species